rnacentral:tRNA from 1 species
GGCGAGGUAGCUCAGUCGGUUAGAGCGGAGUCUUCAUAAGGCUCAGGUCGCCGGUUCAAGUCCGGCCCUCGCUACCA